rnacentral:rRNA from 1 species
AUGGCCAGCUUAGUGCUGCCGUCCACCUUCCCAAUGGCCGAUCUAGCGCCGCCGUCCACCUAUCCCAUAGAAGCCGCAACGCCCACAUCCAUCAUCUCCAUGGACGCCGCAGCGCCGCCUUCGACCUCCAUCGUACCCACACCAGCGCCGCCGUCCACCUUUCCCACAACUGCACCAGCGCCGCGGUCCACCUCCCCCAUGGCUGUACCAGCGCCGCCUUCCAACUCCCCCACUGCCGGACCAGAGCAACCAUUCACCUCCUCCAUAUCCGCCCCAGCGGCGCCGCCGUCAGCCACCACCAUGGCUGUCACCAGCGAUGCUCGCAAGAAGCGACCUCCCUGCAAGAAGAAGAAGAUUCUUGCUGUCCAAGAAGAACCUGCCAAGAUUGCGCCGCCAUCCAUAAUCUCCGUGGACGCCGCAACGCCGCCUUCCACCUCCAACGUCACCGCACCAACGCCGUCAUCCACUUCCCCCACAGCUGCACCAGCGCCGCCGUCCAACUCCUCCACGGCCAGACUAGCGCAGCUGUCCAACUCCACCACCGGUGAGGCUCGCAAGAAGCGGCCUGGGCAUGAACUCCCAAGGUCUGGCUCCAAGAAGAAGAAGAAGAUAGCUGCUGUCCAUGAAGCCCCUGCUGAGAAUGCUGUUGAAGCCGUCCUUGCUUCUGAAUCUGACAAGACCAAGUGCCUCAGUGGCUCUGCCAAGAGGAAGCUGAAGAAGCAAAAGCCUACGAAGGAAGACUCUAAUGGGGAUGCUCCUAAUGGGACCGCUGCUGAGAAAGAGCAGGAGGCUCCCAUUGAACAAGAGAAAAUUGAGAUGACCCUUGAAGAUUAUGAGAAGGUGCAAGAAAAGAAGAAGUCUCUGGAGGCCUCUAAACCAGAGGAGAGGAGGGUUGUUGAUGUAGAUUUUGAGGGUCUCCAGCUCUUGGAGAAAAAAUUGAUUGAGGAUGAUGCUAAAUUGAAGGCGGAAAAUGUUCGUAAAGCAAAGGAGGUUGCUGCAAAGGAAGCUAAACCUUGCAAGAGAGCUAGUCCACGAGUUUAUUCUCCAAAGAUUGUGGCGAGCUCCCCAGGGGUCAAUAUGUUAGCAAGAUCAGCUGCAUUGAAGAGGGUGUCAUCGGCGGUGAGGCACGCUUCCGCAAAAAGAGCAAAGUUAGCAGAUCAACUAGAGACACCUGAAUCACAAUGGACGCUGCUACAGAACACCCCUUUGCUUCAAAAUCUGUCUCCUGCAGCGAGAAGACCUAGUUCCCAUGGGUCAAAGCGUAGACGCCGCAAGCUAACAUCUCGCAUUUGGGAGGAGGACAAGCCAAUCUAUGAUGGUCGAAUGCUUGUGGAAGGCCAGUGUAAUCAUUGUGAACAAAUUUUUCCGGCCACACGAGACAGUGGGACCAGCCACUUACGUCGGCACCUGAAGGUAUGCCCAAUGAAAAUUGCUAUGAAUGAAAUGAUUUACAAGUUGGGUCCUCCUGAGGUGGUAGAUCCUAAUUGGAAAUUUGAUGCUAAAGUCUCACGGUUUGAAUUAGUCAAGUUGAUUGUUGUGAAUGAAUUGCCGUUCUCUCUCGCGAAGUACAAACCAUUUCGGGACUUUGCUGCUUCCUUAAAUCCGUGGUUCAAAGUGCCCUCGAGAACAACUGUCAAAAAUGAUUGCAUGGAAAAUUUUAAGAGAAACAGACUAAAAGUGCAACAAUAUUUUGAGAAGUCUACUAGUAGAGUAUCUUUGACAGCAGAUAUGUGGACGUCAAACCAAAAAUUGGGUUAUCUUUGCAUCACCUGCCACUUGAUUGAUUCAGAUUGGCAAAUUAAAAUUGUCAUAAGAUUCUUCAUGAUGCAGACACCUCACAAUGCUAUGAACAUGUAUGGUGUGAUACUAAAGACUAUUCAAGAGUUUAAUUUAGAGGAUAAGCUCUUUGGUUUCACGUUAGACAACGCACCGGUGAAUACCGCGAUGAUAAACCACUUAAGAGAGAAUUUGGUUAAAAAAGGUUGUCUUCUCUUGAAAGGAAAAUUAUUUCAUUGUCGAUGUGCUCCUCAUGUCUUCAACUUGAUGGUUCAAGAUGCUCUUCUCGCAAUGAAAUCUGUGGUCAAUAACAUUCGAGAAUCUAUCCAAUUCGUAAAGAGUUUGCAAUCAAGAGGCCAACAAUUUCAAGAGAUAAUCAAUCAAGUGGGGUGCUGUUUUGUUAGGCAGCCUUCUGUAGAUGUACAAACUCGUUGGAAUUCCACAUAUUUGAUGCCUGAAUCAGCUAUACCAUUUAGAAGUGCAUUUGAUGCCUUAGGGCAGCAAGACAAGGAGUACGAGUUUUGUCCAACACCUAUUGAAUGGAAAAUGGCUGAAUCUGCAUGCAAAUUGCUAAAAGGAUUUUACACAGCAACCAAACUUCUCUCUGGAUCUAAGUAUCCGACUAGUCAUCUCUACUUCCCCCAGCUAUGUAAGAUUAAGAAGAUCUUGAACAGAGAGUCAUCAAGUAAGAACACCAUCAUUGCGCAUAUGGUGCAGCAAAUGGAAAUAAAGUUAGAGAAGUAUUGGAAGGAGUCCUACAAGUCGAUUUGUGUUCCGGUUGUAUUUGAUCCAAGGUUUAAGUUUGAUCUACUUGAAUAUAUGUUAAAAGACUUUGGAAGUGAAAUUGAAGCCAAUAAAUGGAUGCUUAAAUUAAAGAAAGCAAUCCAAAAGCUUUUCGAUCAGUACUCUCUAGAGAUUCUUGUUCAUCACCAAUAA